rnacentral:rRNA from 1 species
CCAGACUCCUACGGGAGGCAGCAGUGGGGAAUAUUGGGCAAUGGGCGCAAGCCUGACCCAGCAACGCCGCGUGAAGGAAGAAGGCCCUCGGGUUGUAAACUUCUUUUAUUCGGGACGAAACAAAUGACGGUACCGAAUGAAUAAGCCACGGCUAACUACGUGCCAGCAGCCGCGGUAAUACGUAGGUGGCAAGCGUUAUCCGGAUUUACUGGGUGUAAAGGGCGUGUAGGCGGGAGAGCAAGUCAGACGUGAAAUUCCAGGGCUCAACCCUGGAACUGCGUUUGAAACUGUUCUUCUUGAGUGAUGGAGAGGCAGGCGGAAUUCCUAGUGUAGCGGUGAAAUGCGUAGAUAUCAGGAGGAACACCGGCGGCGAAGGCGGCCUGCUGGACCGCGACUGACGUUGAGGCUCGAAAGCGUGGGGAGCAAACAGGAUUAGAUACCCGUGUA